GGCCACCCACUACCCGUGUUGAAGGAGGCGAGCACCAAAGGGAGACCAUGCCCGCGUGCCUCAGCAUCAGAUCACGGCUACAGCUACGACGACGGACUCCAAGAGCUGCAUGGACGCCCUGGUGGUGAACGGACGCUGCACACCUGUAACCUCUCCCGCCCAGGACUCGCUCGACGGAAUGCCUUGCCCGCAGGCAAACCACCUCUCUGAGUCCUGAGCGUGAAUGUGGUUUAGCAAAUCCCAAUAUCUGCAAAACUGCAGCGCCACUGCCGCUUCCUCUGCUCUAUGCUUGACCAAAUGAAGAGAUGAGGAAUAGAGAGGCAACAGGUAGCAGAGGCAACUUUGCUUGCUGCGUUUUCGCCUACACGGUUGCGUCCUCCCCCGUGGUGCCAAGGAUGAAGAGGAGCAGCAAGAAGGCAUUUCCACGGCCUAACGCGAUGGCACGAGAAGCCAAGGUCCCUCUCCGUGAGCGGCACUGACUGGCGACGGGGACGUGAGGCUGCUGCAGCGGCUUCAGACCCUCACGUUGAUGAGCUCAGAAGGAUGCAGCCACGUGAAGGACAAGGGAACGAUUAGCAGCCAGCCAUGGUUGGUUUGGGGAGAACACAACGGGGCUCCUCCCUGCUAGCAUCAAUUUCUAUCUUCAGUUUGACAAAGCAACUAAGGCUUGUAUGAAGAUUCACAUUCACUCGAGUCAUAGCACAAUACAACUUGUACAUCUGCAGUGGAAGAAAGCGCAUGUCUUUGGCCACUCUAUGGGUUACUCCUCCUUGCUCUGCCGCGCCUUUCAAUUUUGGGAUCAUGUUUCUCAAAUGUGUGAUCUAUAGGCAUUGACCCUAUUGUUCUUGCAACCAGGUGCGCAGAUUUCUUGCAAGCUGUGUUUCCCAAAGGCACUGAAACUCUGAUAUCUUUCUACAUAUUUGUGGAACUGAAUGCAACUCAG